GACAGAGGCCCCGAGCGUUAGUCGGAAUCACUGGGCGUAAAGCGCACGUAGGCGGACUCUUAAGUCGGUGGUGAAAUCCUGGAGCUCAACUCCAGAACUGCCUUCGAUACUGAGAGUCUCGAGUCCGAGAGAGGUGAGUGGAACUGCGAGUGUAGAGGUGAAAUUCGUAGAUAUUCGCAAGAACACCAGUGGCGAAGGCGGCUCACUGGCUCGGUACUGACGCUGAGGUGCGAAAGCGUGGGGAGCAAACAGG
rnacentral:rRNA from 1 species